rnacentral:rRNA from 1 species
UACGGAGGGAGCUAGCGUUGUUCGGAAUUACUGGGCGUAAAGCGCACGUAGGCGGCUUUUUAAGUCAGGGGUGAAAUCCCGGGGCUCAACCCCGGAACUGCCCCUUGAAACUGGAGAGCUGGAAUCUUGGAGAGGAGAGUGGAAUUCCUGGUGUAGCGGUGAAAUGCGCAGAUAUCAGGAAGAACACCCGUGGCUAAGGCGGCUCUCUAGUACGGUACUGACGCUGAGACGCGAAAGCGUGGGGAGCAAACAGGG